rnacentral:rRNA from 1 species
UACGUAGGGUGCAGGCGUUAAUCGGAAUUACUGGGCGUAAAGCGUGCGCAGGCGGGCUUUUAAGUCAGAUGUGAAAUCCCCGGGCUUAACCGGGGAACUGCGUCUGAUACUGGAUGGCUUGAGUUCGGGAGAGGGAUGCGGAAUUCCAGGUGUAGCGGUGAAAUGCGUAGAUAUCUGGAGGAACACCGGUGGCGAAGGCGGCAUCCUGGACCGAUACUGACGCUGAGGAGCGAAAGCCAGGGGAGCAAACGGG